rnacentral:rRNA from 1 species
AGAGUUUGAUCCUGGCUCAGGAUGCUUUCUAGCGGCAGGCUUAACACAUGCAAGUCGAGGGGCAGCGGGGAGGAAGCUUGCUUUCUCCGCCGGCGACCGGCGCACGGGUGAGUAACACGUAUGCAACCUGCCCCUGUCAGGGGGACAACCCGCCGAAAGGCGGGCUAAACCCGCGUACAUGCCACCGGGGCAUCCCGGAGGCAGGAAAGGCUUCGGCCGGACAGGGAUGGCAUGCGGCGCAUUAGGCAGUAGGCGGGGUAACGGCCCACCUAACCGACGAUGCGUAGGGGUUCUGAGAGGAAGGUCCCCCUCACUGGUACUGAGACACGGACCAGACUCCUACGGGAGGCAGCAGUGAGGAAUAUUGGUCAAUGGUCGGGAGACUGAACCAGCCAAGCCGCGUGAGGGAGGAAGGUACAGAGUAUCGUAAACCUCUUUUGUCAGGGAACAAAGGCGGGGACGUGUCCCCGGAUGAGUGUACCUGAAGAAAAAGCAUCGGCUAACUCCGUGCCAGCAGCCGCGGUAAUACGGAGGAUGCGAGCGUUAUCCGGAUUUAUUGGGUUUAAAGGGUGCGCAGGCGGUCUGUUAAGUCAGCGUGCAAACCCCGGGGGCUCAACCCCGGCCCCGCGGUGAAAACUGGCAGUUUCGAGUUGGAGAGAAAGUAUGCGGAAUGCGCGGUGUAGCGGUGAAAUGCAUAGAUAUCGCGCAGAACUCGGAUUGGGAAGGCAGCAUGCCGGCUCCACACUGACGCUGAGGCACGAAAGCGUGGGUAUCGAACAGGAUUAGAUACCCUGGUAGUCCACGCAGUAAACGAUGAAUGCUGGCUGUCCGGGGGGAUUGACCCCUGGGUGGCGAAGCGAAAGCGAUAAGCAUUCCACCUGGGGAGUACGCCGGCAACGGUGAAACUCAAAGGAAUUGACGGGGGCCCGCACAAGCGGAGGAACAUGUGGUUUAAUUCGAUGAUACGCGAGGAACCUUACCCGGGCUCAAACGGGGAGUGACUCAGGCAGAGACGCCUGUUUCCCACGGGACACUCCCCGAGGUGCUGCAUGGUUGUCGUCAGCUCGUGCCGUGAGGUGUCGGCUUAAGUGCCAUAACGAGCGCAACCCCCGCGUGCAGUUGCUAACAGAUAACGCUGAGGACUCUGCACGGACUGCCGGCGCAAGCCGCGAGGAAGGCGGGGAUGACGUCAAAUCAGCACGGCCCUUACGUCCGGGGCGACACACGUGUUACAAUGGGUGGUACAGCGGGAAGCCAGGCGGCGACGCCGAGCGGAACCCGAAAUCCACUCUCAGUUCGGAUCGGAGUCUGCAACCCGACUCCGUGAAGCUGGAUUCGCUAGUAAUCGCGCAUCAGCCAUGGCGCGGUGAAUACGUUCCCGGGCCUUGCACACACAGCCCGUCA